ACAACUGAAGUCUCUUCAAACAGGAAUCAGACACUCAGAGACUUUAGAGAUCACAGCUGAUAUUCACUCACAGCCAUGUUGUCCUCCAGUAGUGCACUAAAUGAGGAGCUUCAGUGUUCAAUCUGUCUGGAUGUGUUCACUGAUCCAGUCACAACUCCAUGUGGACACAACUUCUGCAAGACCUGCCUGAAUGAAUGCUGGAAAAACACUCAGAACUACAGCUGUCCAUUCUGUAAAGAAACAAUCAGCAAAAGACCUGAUCUGAAGAUUAAUACAACACUCAGAGAGGUUGUGCAACACUUUAAGAAAAAGUUUAAUCUGGGUAAAUCUGAAGUUCUCUGUGACAUCUGUGAUGAAAGAAAGCAGAAAGCCGUGAAGUCUUGUCUGAUGUGUCAAACCUCUUACUGUGAAACACACCUGGAGCCUCAUCUGAGAGUCCCACAUCUAAAGAAACACAAACUGAUGGACGCUGUUGAGAAUCUGGAGGAUUAUAUAUGCCAGAAACACGAGAGACCUCUGGAUCUGUUCUUCAGAGAUGAUCAGAUGUGUGUGUGUUUGUCCUGCACUGAAGGAGACCACAAGACUCACAACACUGUUCCUAUAGAGGACGAGAGUGCAGAGAAGAAGAAUCAGCUGGUAAAGACACAGAUAGACAUGCAGCAGAUGAUCCAGAACAGAAUGAAGAAGAUUCAAGACAUCCAACACUCUGUAAAGAUGAGAAAGAGAAACACAGAAGAAGAGAAAUCACACAGUGUUGAGGUAUUCACGGCUCUGAUCCGCUCCAUUGAGAGAUGUCAGACUGAAGUUGUUUUGAUGUUGGAGGAGAAGAAGAAAGCAGCAGAGAAACGGGCUGAAGAUCUCAUUAAAGAGCUGGAGCAGGAGAUCACUGAGCUAAAGAGGAGAAACUCUGAGCUGGAGCAGAUCUCACACACUGAAGAUCAUCUUCAUCUCCUACAGAUAGACCUGUCCCUGUACAGCCCUAAGAACAGUAAGAACUGGACUGAGAUCACUAUUAACACUCAUGUGAGUGUGGACACUCUGAAUAGAGCUCUGACUCGACUCAAAGACACUCUAGAUCAAAAACUUGGUCAAACUGUAUUGAGGAGGAUGCAGCAGUAUGCAGUGGUUGUGACUCUGGAUCCUGUUACAGCUAAUCCAUAUCUCAUCCUGUCUGAUGAUGGAAAACAAGUGAGAGAUGCAGACAUUGAACAAAACCUCCCAGAUAAACCAGAGAGAUUUGAUAGAUGUGUCUCUGUUCUGGGAAAGAAGGGAUUCAGUUCAGGUAGAUUUUAUUUUGAGGUGCAGGUGAAGAGAAAGACUGACUGGACUUUAGGAGUGGUCAGAGAAUCCAUUAACAGGAAGGGAGAGAUCACAGCGACUCCAGUGAAUGGAUUCUGGACUGUGAGGUUGAGGAAUGAGAAUGAAUAUAAAUCCUGUGAAGAUCCUCCUGUCUCUCUGUGUGUGAGAGUGAAGCCACAGAAGGUUGGUGUGUUUGUGGAUUAUGAGGAGGGUCUGGUCUCCUUUUAUGAUGUGGAGUCCAGCUCUCAUAUCUACUCUUUCACUGGUCAGUCUUUCACUCAAACACUCUUUCCAUAUUUUAGCCCAAGUCUUAAUGAUGAAGGUAAAAACUCAACUCCACUGAUCAUCACACCUGUCAGUUACAAUUAAUGAAUUUACACCCCAUAAAUAUAAAAAACUACAUGAACAUUAGAUUUGUACAUUUCUUAAAAGAAAAUAUGAGGUGUGGUUGCUAGGGAGAUCUGGAUGGUUGCUAGUGUGUUCUGUGUACUUUAGUUUGAGCACAUUAUCACUGACUCUGUGCACUUGAGCCGGGAAACAUGAGAACAAACUUCUCCAUCAAUGAAACUGUCUCCAGCUUUUCCACAUCACAGAGAGAGAGAAAAUAAACUUUUCACACUCUAAGAACAGUGUUUAUCAUAUUUAAAACAGCACAUGAUGUACAUUUAUGGGGGGGUUUGUAGAAAACAGGCUUCUGCCCCACGGUUCUCCACUAUUUGUUUUAAAUCCAGCGUUUAAACGUGACGUCUACUCAGGUCCCGAUGCUUUGUGGGAAAAGAAAGUGUUCAACCGAUCCACACUUCAGAUUCCCGCCGGGGACUUCCGGCAAGAUGGCGGACAUAUUUUGUUGAGUUCUGGCAGUUACACGCUUUAUUGUUACUUUCUUAUAUACCGGCCUCAGAAAUUGAAUUGAUUAAUUCAACAAAUCACUAUUGCUCGUUUGUUUCUUUAAAACAUUUUAUAUCAGUUCAGUCAAUAAGUUUGCCACUUGCGGGAACAUGGCGCAUUUAGCAAACAGAGCCCAAAGUUUAUCCACAGAAACGGAUCACAGCUACGGUCUAGAAAACACCAAGGAAAGACCAGGAUGCUUCCCACAUUACUCCGAAAAAAAAAAAAAAAAAAAAAAAAAAAAAAAAAUCAAACAAAAAAGGUUAAAUCAGACGACACUGAUAUCUUUAAUGCAGCUUUGCUCCAGGCGAUUAACUCCUUAACGGCGUGAUUUGAUUCUCAAGAUAGAAAGCUGGAGGACAUCACGGACAAAAUCAGGCAAAACAGAGUUUAAUGCUGCAGAGAUUAAAGAAUAUAAACAGAAAUAUACUGUCUUGGAAAAGAAAACAGCACUCCUAAUCAAAUCCAACGAAGAAUUAAAGCUGAAAACGUCAGAACUCGAGCGUUAUAAGCGAAGAUGGAAUCUCCGUAUUUAAGGGAUGAAAGAGCAUGCUGAUGAGGAUGCACGGAAAGAGGUGGGGGAUCUUUUGGCUGAGAUAGCCCCACAUUUAACGCAGAAACUGGAUGAUGUAAUUGAUUCAGUUCACCGAGUCGGGAAAAAGGAAUCUGGAAGACACCGUCAAAUGAUUGUUCAGUUCACCAUGCGUAGAUACAGAGACGACAUCUGGAAGAAUAUAAAGAAUUCGCAGGUGUGCAUUGAACGUGGAAAUAAGUUUGCGGAGGAUAUGUCAGCUGAGGACCGGAGAGCUCGUGCAGCUCAUCCAGGAAGCUAGGAGCGCCGGUAAGAAGGCAUACUAUCGCGGUCCUUUGGGAUACAUCGAUGGCCGUUUAAUUUCACCUGCAAAUAAAAGCAUGGACUGAUUAUUCCCAUGAAGUUAAGAUGAGGCUGUGAGUAGUGAGAUCUGAAUGUGAAAUUGUUACCUGCCAGAGCAUCAGUUUACAUUUUUCUUUUGCUUCUGUAUCAAACUUCGAUAGCUGGUGUUGUUAUAUCCCCAGCAGUGAUUCUUUAUUGUGCUUUGUUAAUAAUGUUAUAUGUUGUUCUAUUUUUCUUUCUCUAAAUUUUAGGGGUCUAAGAGAUAGUACAAAAAGAAAGGCUACAUUUUUGUUUUGUAAAGAGAGGAAAGCUCAUUGUAUUCUUCUGCAGGAAACGCAUUCAAGUGGCAGUGAUUGUUCCUUUUGGUCUACUCAGUGGGGUGAACCAAUUUUAUUUGAUCAUGGCACAACCGCUCAGGAGGCGUUGCUCUUAUUUUGGAAAGUUAUUGAGUCAAGAUCUAGUUUAGAUGGACAUUGGUUGUUUUGCAUCCUUAAACUUGAUGACUGUUGCAUUAUCUUAGGAAAUGUGUACGGCCACAACAAUUCGUCCCAAAACAGUCUCUUGAUGUCUGAAAUUUCAAUGAUAAUAGAGGAAAUGAAAAAAAGGUAUACUACUGACUUUAUUAUAUUGGGAGGUUAUUUUAAUAUGGUGUAUGAUGAGUGGUUAGAUAGGUCACCCACUAAAUAUAAUGCACAUAACUCAGUUUUAGUAAAUUUUUGUAAUGCCCAAGGUUUAGUAGAUCCUUGGUGUGAAUCAAACCCGUAUUCAAAACUAUUUUCUUGGUUUAAACCUGAUGCUUGUAGGAAGUCCCGAAUUGAUUUUUGGUUAAUUUCUCAUAGAUUUUUCUUUAUCAUUCCACCUCCUGCACCUCUGCAACUCCCCUUACAGACUAUUGUUCAACUGAAUUGAUGAUCAAUCAAAAAGAUAAACCUUUCCAUAACAAAGGAUAUUGGAAGUUGAACUCUAACCUUCUCGAAAAAGAAGACUAUAUAAAAGCGGUGGAAGAUACUGUUUCAAAUGUUAUUAAAGAUGAUAGUUUGGUUUCCUGGGUAGGUAAAUGGGAAUUAUUUUAAUACAAACUUCGUCAAUUGUCUAUUUCUUACAGUAAACAACUAAAUAGAUGUUAUCGUUUAGAAGAGACCUCUCUUAUUAAAGAAAUAAAUGAUUGUUCUAACAAAUUAAGUUUGACAGAGAAUGAUGCAUCACGAUUGUUAUCUCUGCAGUCACAGUUAGAUGAAAUUUAUAUGAGAAAAGCCAGGGGGGCAUACAUUAGAUCAAGAGCUAAAUGGAUGGAAAAAGGGGGAAAUAGUUCAGCUUAUUUUUGUAGGUUAGAGAAAAAACGUCAGAAAAAAACGCGGUUAAAACUUUAAUCAUUAAUGGUGUAGAAUGUUCUGAUGCAAAAUUAAUAUCAAAAGAAAUCGCUAACUUUUAUCAGAACCUAUACUCGUCCUCUUCCUUAAUUUUAGAUCCUAAUCCCCUUUUUGAAGAAAUUGGUGAAUUUGUCUCUCAAAUAGAUGAACAAUUUGUGAUGCAGAAUUAACAAUUGAAGAGCUUGAUUCUGCUGUCAUGUGUUUGUCAUUAGAUAAAUCGCCUGGCCCAGAUGGUCUUACGUCAAAUUUUUAUCGUCAUUUUUGGGGUCUAUUAAGGGAAUUUCUUUUUGCGGCUUUUCAGGAAAUAUCUAAUAAUUCGGUUCUGCCUAGCUCAAUGAGACAAGGAUUAAUCACGCUUAUUCUCAAACCGGGGAAGGACAUUGUUGGACAAUUUACGACCUAUAACUUUGUUAGAUAAUGACUAUAAACUGUUAACCCAUAUAUAUAACAAUCGCUUGAAACUUGGUUUAUCUAAAGUUAUUGGGGAGACACAAACUGGAUUUAUUAGAGGCCGAUCUUUACAUAAUAAUAUUCGACUGGUUUUAGACUUGCUAGAGUAUAACAAAGAAAUAGAAGAAGAUGGGGUUAUUUUAUUUUUGGAUUUCUAUAAAGCGUUUGAUAUGCUGGAUCAUUCUUUUAUUUUUAAGUGUUUACAAAUGUAUGAGUUUGGUGAAAAUUUUCGUAAGGUUAUUCAGUUAUUCUACACAGAUACCAAUAGCUCAGUUGCCUUGUCAGCAGGUACUUCACCGAGAUUUGACAUCAAAAGAGGGGUUAAACAAGGCUGCCCCAACCCUCAUUAUUUAUUAUGGCUACAGAGAUGUUGGCCAUCCUUAUAAAAAUUCUCAAAUAUUGAAAGACUAAAUGUGUUUGGACAUCAAAUUGUGAUUAGUCAAUUGGCGGACGACACAACCUUAUUUUUAAAAGCUCUUGAUCAGAUUCCCAAAACAAUUGAAAUAAUUAUUUCCCCACAUUUCCAGGUUUAAAACUUAAUAUUGGUAAAUGUGAAAUUAUCACAAUACAUGAAUGCUCCCUUGAAGCUGCAUAUAAUAUCCCAGUCAAAUCGAGUGUUAAAUGUUUAGGUAUAGACAUUUCCAAGGAUGAGGCUGUUAAGGAAAAACAAAAUAUAUGGAAUAGAUGGAAUGAAUGCAAAGGUAGACUUGAUGUAUGGAUGCAAAGGGAUUUAUCUGUUUUUGGAAGGAUUUAUUUAACUAAAAUGGAGAGUCUUGCCAGGUGCAUUUACCCUGCAUCUUGCCUCUCUAUCUCCAAUAAAGCUAUUAAGACUAUUCAUCAAAUUAAUUGUAAUUUUAUAUGGAGAAAGCGUGUACACUACAUUAAGAGAGCACAAUUUACACAAGAUUACGAGAACGGUGGAUUACAAGCCUUUGAUUUUCAGUGUAUAAAUGGCAUGUUGAAGAUCAAAUGGUUCAAACUGUUUAUAACUAAUGAAAAUAGUUUUUGGUUUAGCAUUCCCAAAGGUAUAUUUAGGAGAUUGGGUGGAAUUGAUUUCCUUUUAAAAUGUGACUUUAUUAUAACAAAACUUCCAGUCAAAUGAUCUUCUUUUCACCAACAGAUUUUGCUGUAUUGGAAGUUAUUAUAUAAUCACAACUUUAUCCCACAUAGGACCCCCAUUUGGAAUAACAGAUUUGUUUUAUCCAGAUAUAAGUCUCUAUGUAUUAUUGAUUGGCUUGAAAAGAGUAUCUGGUCUGUAGUUCACUUAAUGGAUGAAGAUGGGAAUCUGUUAACUUUCAAAGAUUUUUGUACUAAAUACAACCUAUACUGUGAACGCAAACAAUUUGAACGUAUUAUAAAUGCCAUUCCAAAAAAUGUCAUUCACUUAGUACAAAACACCUUUGUUCACUGGCUGGAUGGCUCAUGCAAACUCCCAUCCCUUCUCUUUGAUGGUAACAACCUCAUGACAAUGCUUCCCAACAAACAUAUUCGUUCUUCCUUUAAUUCUAAAUUGUAUCCAUACACUUUUAUAUCGUAAUGACAUUUAACAAGUUUAUGAUAAACCAACUGCAAAAAAAUUUCGAAUCCAGUAUAUUAGUUUUCCAGUGGCUCCUAAAGCAAAGGAAACUCACUUUAAAAUAUUUAAUGGUAUAUAUCCUUCAAGUGAAUUUUUAAGACUUAGAUUUAACUUUGACUACAAUACUUGUACUUUUUGUCAAAUUGACAUAGAGACAACUGAUCACUUCUUCUUUUAUUGUAUGCAUUCAAAUAUUUUCUUGGAAAAUAUGUCCUAUUGGUUGGAGACAAAGAUCCAAUCACUGCCUACCUUCUCUAUGAACCAUGUUGUAUUUGGAAUGUUAUUGGAUGACAAAAAACUUGAUUUUUUUCAUUAACAUAAUGCUGAUUCUGGGUAAAUUCUUUAUACAUAAAUGUAAAUAUAUGAAGACAAAACCUUAUUUCUCUGUAUUUAAAAGUGAUUUACUUUAUAACUAUUUUCCAUCACUAAAAGGUAUGAAGACUAAACAGGCCUGCAAUCUUCUUAGGAUGAUAAAAGACUUUGGUUUAUUGGAAGAUGAAUGAAGAUUAUUUUAUUUAUUUAUUUUAUUUCUUCGGUUUAUCUGUGCGCCCUGUUAUUUGUUUUAUUGAUUUCAUUUACAUUUAGGAAUGCCAUUAUAAAUGUACAUUUUGUUCAUGUUCAAUAAAAAUAAAUAAAUAAAAAAGAUUCUCGCCGGAAGUAGUAGGUCAUCCGGGCAUU